GUUUAUCUUAUAUGGCCUUUAUUAUGUUGAGGUAUUGUCCCUCUAUACCCAAUUUUUAAAGGGUUUUUAUCAUAAAUGGGUGUUGAAUUUUGUC